CACAUCCAGUUCAGAUGAUGAUAGUUCUAUGAGUGUCCCUGGUUGUUCUGAAGCUAUCUCAAACAUAAGUGACAUUGAAUAUUUUAAUUCAGACUUCGAUUACAAAGAAUAAAACUUUUUCUUAUAAAAUAUUUCUUUAUUUGUAGGUUCUGUUAGUUACGAAAUUAUAUUUCAUUUAGUGACUUUUCGGCGAAGUAAAAUAUCGUGAGAUAAGAGAACCGGACAUAUCCCAAUAAGGCCUACCUACUUAUGCACUAUUUUUAUUCAUAUUUAUUAUUAAUAAUGUACACAUACAUUACAAGUCAAGUUUACAAUGGGUGAAAUAUAUCCCAGA